rnacentral:rRNA from 1 species
GACGAACGCUGGCGGCGUGCUUAACACAUGCAAGUCGAACAGGAGUAUCAAAGAAGCUUGCUUUUAAGAUACUUUAGUGGCGGACGGGUGAGUAACGCGUGAGGAGCUGUCCUAUGCAGGGGGACAACAGUUGGAAACGACUGCUAAUACCCCAUAAGCCGAGAGGUAAAAGGAUUUAUCCGGCAAAGGAGGUACUCGCGUCCUAUCAGCUAGUAGGUGGGGUAACGGCUCACCUAGGCGAAGACGGGUAGCCGGCCUGAGAGGGCGAACGGCCAAACUGGAACUGAGAUACGGUCCAGACUCCUACGGGAGGCAGCAGUGGGGAAUAUUGGGCAAUGGGGGAAACCCUGACCCAGCGACGCCGCGUGGGUGAAGAAAUCCUUCGGGAUGUAAAGCCCUGUUGUAUGGGAAGAGCAGAAGACGGUACCAUACGAGGAAGCACCGGCUAACUACGUGCCAGCCGCCGCGGUAA